AUCUCUGUAGAGUCUGCAUAUCAAUAAGCGGAGGAAAAGAAACUAACAAGGAUUCCCCUAGUAACGGCGAGUGAAGCGGGAAGAGCUCAAAUUUGAAAUCUUCAAGGUUCUGACCUUGACGAAUUGUAGUUUAAAGAAGUGUUUUCGGUUAGAGGAGUAGGUAAAAGUUCUUUGGAAUAGGACAUCAUAGAGGGUGAGAAUCCCGUAUUUGACUAUUCUUUCUAGCUUUGUGAUACACUUUCAAAGAGUCGGAUUGUUUGGGAAUGCAGUCCAAAAUGGGUGGUAAAUUUCAUCUAAAGCUAAAUAUUGGCGAGAGACCGAUAGCGAACAAGUACCGUGAGGGAAAGAUGAAAAGAACUUUGAAAAGAGAGUUAAACAGUACGUGAAAUUGUCAAAAGGGAAGCGUUUGACACCAGUGUUGUUUUUCCGAAAAUCAAUUAAAAAUGGAUUCAUGCUAAGUUGUAUUGACCUUAUCAGCUUGCAAUUUAGUUUUGGGUUUCUUUUUGAUGCACUUUUCGGUUAACAAGUCAACAUCAAUUUCCUUUGCUGUAAAAAGGCAGGAGGAAGGUGGCUUUCAAUUUCGGCUGAAGUGUUUAUAGCCUUCUGCCCCUGCGGUCGGGGAGAUUGAGGUCUGCAGCGUAGAUCCUUCGGGGCUAGAUACAUUCGUGCUAAGUUAUAGCCUUUUAUAGACAACUUGUUGACUAUGAUUGGUCUUGUAAUUUACUCGCGAGUGCUAUUUUACCUACGCUUAGGAUGUUGAUCUACAGAGCGAGAGU
rnacentral:rRNA from 1 species